rnacentral:sRNA from 1 species
GUCAGGCAUGGUGGUGCAUGCCUGUGGUCCCAGCUACUCAGGAGGCUGAGGUGGGAGGAUCACUUGAGCCCAGAAGGUCGAGGCUGCAGUGAGUGGAGAUCAUACCACUGCACCCCAGCCUGGGCAACAGAGUGAGACCCUGUCUCUA